UACAGAGGGUGCAAGCGUUGUUCGGAAUCAUUGGGCGUAAAGCGUGCGUAGGCGGCCCUUCAAGUAGAAUGUGAAAUCCCUGAGCUCAACUCAGGAAGUGCAUUCUAGACUGAUUGGCUUGAAUCCUGGAGAGGGUGGUAGAAUUCCCAGUGUAGAGGUGAAAUGCGUAGAUAUUGGGAGGAAUACCAGUGGCGAAGGCGACCACCUGGACGGAGAUUGACGCUGAGGCGCGAAAGCGUGGGGAGCAAACAGG
rnacentral:rRNA from 1 species